rnacentral:lncRNA from 1 species
CUUGAAGUCUAGGGGAGGGUCAUGGGAAAGAAACUACCUCCACGGGCUUUUCCCCGAAACAUUUUACCUCAGGUACAUUAACAGCAAAAAGCGUUUACGAUGAAAACUCUUCUCUCUGCAUAUGUCCAGCUCCCAUUCAUGUGUACCCAUCACUCAACAAUUAGUCCCUUUAGAGGAGUCAGUAGCUCCUCUGGUCUGAAUGCAAUGAGACAAAGCAGUGCUGCUCUCUGGUGCUACAUGUCCAUUUCUGGAGGCUGACAGUGUUCAGAUCUGAUCAUCUGGGCUGACAUAAGCACUUUCAACUAGUUGUAAACUUUUAAGCAGAAAUAAUGGAUUUGAAGUGUUUUUUCAAAGCUGUUUCCAGUCUCAGUGGAGUGGGCCAGUGGAAGAGAAGAAAGAAAGAAGUGGAUUGGAAGUCAACUUUGUCCCAUCAAAAGAAUGAGGAGUGGAAGGAUUCAUGCAAUUAGUGAAGGCCAGAAUUUUUUCCCUUUAAUCGACAUCUUGUGUCUCUGGAUUAAUUUGACUCACAUGAGAGCUAGACAAGAGCAGCAGAGCAGAAGCCCUUCAAACCCGAAAGGUGUGGAUGGAGGAAUUGUCCAUUUCCAGACAAUGCCCAGCAGCCCCUGGGGCUCACACAUUGUCUUUCCCAUUAAUAGGGCAGAUAAUCAGAAGUCUGGAAUUUGAAAAUAAAUGGAGCAACACAAUAUGCCCUGCA